AAAGCAGUCCAGCAAAAUUCAGCUCUACCUGUUGACACUGUGGACAUUUUUUCUUUGUAUCCAGUGGCAUUCUGAAACAGCAAAGAAACAACAAGAAGGUUCAAUGACACAAGGCGCAAAAGAGAGAGACAUUAACCGAACUGAAGAAAACACACAGGGAGCAAACACUAAAUAACAAACAUUACAAUGUGCAAUGCUUUAUGGUGCAUUGGAUAUUUUAUAGCUUGAUUCUUUGGGGACAUGAUGAAAGUUAAUAUCAUAAUUAGCUUUCUUACUAGCACUGCAAUCCGCUAGCGCACACGCUUGUUCUGCAAUUGUCUUCUCUACUAAUCUGACUGUGGCUUGCAUAGCUGGGCUCUGGGGGUGGAGCUUGGAAUUGUGACAUAGGAAAUCUCACAGUAUCUGAGUCUGUCGUUUGGGUCUGCCAGAGAUUCACAGUGAUUUAGUUGCAGAAAUACUUAGAAAUGCAACUUAGCAUUUAGUUUUCUCAUAUAUCCCGUAGCUCCAGAAAAAUGCCAUAUGAACAUGAUUUUCAUCGGAGCGGGUCUUUAAGGUCCUUUGUCCUAAGUUUUCAGCACUCUUGCAUGAUCAUCAAAUUUAUAAAUCAGAGUAAACGGCUAUACGAAUGUUUCAUGGUGUGUAAAUAUAUUCCGUACCGUGAUGACUCUCAGCUCUGAGUCACUGUUUUUUUGGGUUUUUUUUUAAGGGUGGCAUGUGGUUCCAAGGACGCUCUUUGUUUUAGAAAUAAAGGAAUAGAAGAAAUAAAAGGAAGGAGUUGCUCAACAUGAAGGAGAGAUACAAUAACGUUGUUAUGCCCAGCUCUCCUUCAAACUUCACGAACCUUCUUCCUCCCUAACUUUGUUCAAUUGUAGGUCACUUUCAGGUCUUUCCACUUCCAAAUUCCCAAUUCACUCAAGCUGAAGCAAAUUUACUGUUUACUUUCCAAAACUAAUUUUAUGAAGAUGAUAACUAGGACUUUGAACCUUUACGAGUAGCUCUCCAGAUUCUCUGGCUCUCUUGUUUGUUGUAUAUUUAGACACCGUUAAUUAACAGGUACGUCUGUAGUGGACCUCCCGCUGAGCUUUCCGGGAGAUUGUAGCUGUGAAGUGGCUACACAGGAAGAGAAAAUACAGUCUCCACGGAAGCUCGAGGGAGAAUAUCGGCCAACAUGAGUCGUGUUCCUGUAAUCAAUGCACAGGAACUCCUUACAACUUCACACACCGGCUGUUGCUGAGGCUGAGUCAGCAGGCUGAAAGUAACCGCCGUCGGAGGCUUUUGAAGCCGCUGCUUUCCUGCAAGCUUCUCCCAAGAUAAGGAAGCAUUUUUUGAGCCGAGAGAAGCAAUUUGUUUCUCAUCUCCACAAAGCUGAGAGGAGAAUUCACUCUGGGAAAUGUUGCCAAAGUCUCUAUAAAGUUAGCCAGAGCACCAAAUGGUUUGGGCGGGAACUCUGGCAUCACUGCUAAGUUGUAAUUUUAUAAUUUUACUGGUUGUCAGAUGGUUUUAUGAAUUUAAGAGUUCAUUUUUAAGAGAGAAGAUGGAGACAUAAAGAGAAAAAGAGAUGGUUUCUUUAUUAGUUUGCCAUCUAAGCAGUGAUUGUGUCUCUUUAUGUACAUUAUUGAAGACAUUCAAGCAUCAUAUCCUGCUCUCAGAAGUCACAAUUUCCAGAACUCCUUGCAGGGAUGCAGAUUUUGACAGAACCUGUUGGCAUAUCUUAAGAUUUGAUAUCACAAAUGGAGUUACAGCGCUGUGUGAGAUCACUAAAGAUGUUGAGGAAGCUCAAAAGUACCUCCUACCUGUGGCCUCCAGCAGCCCAUGAGCUAUUAAUAAGAACCUGAACCUACCAAACCUCCUGGACCCAGCAGUUGAGUCAUGUUACUUGAUGGUAACAUGACAGUCCAAAGAAGGCAAACUUUGGCUUCAAAUUUACAUUACUGGGUGCGCUCAGGAUGAGGGAUGUGCUGAGGGGACUUUUUUCCCUGGUUCUUUAAAAUUAAAAUUGAAAUUUGGACUUACUGACUACUCUGGGGUCAGAAAACCAAAGAAAAAAGCCCAAGCUUGUGGUUCUGUUUGUCAGUACCUUGAUUAAGGAUGUAUAUAGUUAUAUGUUGGCUGUGUCUGGUCAACUCCACCAAGUCCAAGGAGGACUGGAACGUGGUGGUGUUAAUACUGGUAAUGUCAGCGAAAAGAUGAUUGGACAAUAUUUACCUACAGUCUCUGUGAUCCCAUGUCAUUCUGGGCUUGUUUACAUCCAGAUAGUCAACCUUCAUGGAAUUAUGGAAGUCACUGGAGCUGCAGCGAACUCUGUGAAAGUUCAACUCAUGAUUCUAGUGAUGUGUCGGUCGUGAACAAACGUGAACGAUGGGAGACGUGUUUUUUUUUAUUAUUAUUCAUUUUCUUCUCACUAUAAGGCAGAAUGACGGGAUGAUGGGCGCUCCAUGCGUGCAGUGCAUGACUGUCAAGUGCAUGCUGCGUGCAACCAAUCACGCGAGGAUACACCAAGCAGAGAGGGCCGGAGUGCGCCAUGUGCUUGUGCUCAAUAGAAGGAUGCACUCAGGGUGGCUAAAGCAAAUUAAUGAUAUUAGAAAAUGUAAUUUAUACUUGUGAAUACUUCAGCACAACGGAUGUAUUGACGUGUUCAAGAGGUAUGUGUACACAUAGCCAAACAACGCUAAAUUUGGCUGAAUUGGAAAAUGUAUAAGUGGUAAAAUGAAGAGCCGUUUGGGAGCUGACAGUCUGGGAGCCCUCAUUAAAAAAAGCCGUAAUUCCCAUCUCUACAUGAUGCAGCACCUCACCACUUGCAGGAACUUUGGCUAAACAAGAUGGUAAAUGUGCAUAAAUGUGAACACACGUGCAGCUUUUGUUUGAACUUGAAUGAACUAUCUGGGCUUGAUAAAAAAAAUAAAAACUAAGAAAAAGCAGUCUUAAUCAAUAAAUAAUUCAGUCCCUCAUCCAUCAUCCGAAUCCUGAUGCAGUCAAUACUCAAGUACAAGUCAAGUCACGCCUCCUGAAGACCAGCACACUUCAUAUAAAGAGAUGUUUCUGCUGCAGAGCUGCACUAACAGUGGCUCUUCUGUCACUUUAUAAAAGCUGUUGUUAAGGAAGCUGAACUAGUUAUCCAUUAAGUUCCAGCUUAAAUACUCAACGCAUGCAUCUACUUUGUCAUUUUGAAUGUUUGCUGGAAUUGCUGUAGAGAAAGGCUCAGCCAAAUAACAAGCUUUAACAACUGCAAAAUAGCACAAUAAUGAGCCUGUCAUUCAUGCCUCGGAGGCACGCACAAGUGCUGCAGUGUUUCAUAUUCAGGGAAAAUGUUGAUCCUUAGAAAAACUCAACAACGCGGAACAAAAAUAUGAGAGUAUAGAAGAGUAACAAAGGAACAGCAGUGUUGUGGAAAUGCUGCUGCAUUAUAACAAAUACACUUGCUUUUGUUGGUGCCAAAACCUAAAUAUCAUCAAAGACAAUUAGUGCGGUAAUUACUUGAAAAAUCAAGCUGCACAAAUUCUAGUUUUAUAUAGGAAUGAGAAUUGAUAACCGGUUCCAAGUGAUUCGAUUCUGAAGAAUUGUUCGUCUGCCUCCUUGACAAUUCUGCUCAACGGUUCCUCCUAUGCGUGGUAACGUCGUACGUGAGAAGUGUGUUUUGGUUCAGAACUUUCCAGCAUGGCGCCAAGGCAAAAGCACUCUAGAGUUUGGCUGUAUUUUACGGGAAAAGAUGAUACCCGGGCUACUUGCAACAACUGCAAAGCUUUAAUUUCAUCGAAGGGGGGGGGGAUACAGCAUGCAAUUCAUUUGUGGAAGUGUAACGUGUUUGAUACGCGACUUAGCGAAGGCGAGACUGGUACAGGUAAAAGCAGCAGCAGAGCUAAGGUCUCGGCGUCAUCUGCUUUAAAUGCUGAAGGGAACGUUAAACUCCUCCAGGUCCUGUCUGUUGUGUAGAUGUUAGCACCAUUUUAACCCCCUUUCGCGAUAUAAAUACCCUCCAUCUCUCUAAAGUACAUUUAGAUGACGAUGACUGCAAGAGUAAGGCUGUAAAGUCCUCGUCGACUGGUCAACUUAUUAGUCGGCACUUGCUGAGUCAACCAAAAUUCUGAUCGGUCGGCUUGAUUUUUUUCUGCGUCAAUUUACAGUCUAUGGUUAAUUUCAUCAGGAGGAACGUACCAAGUGCUGAUGGGGGUGUUUUCAGAGCACACAGGUAGCAGCCUGUCUCAGAACACCCCCCUUGCUUUUACCAUUUUGGAUACGCCCAACCCACUGGAGACCGGCCGGAGACAGGAAGAUUAAAGAGCAUCAACGUUAAUCAACGCCCGGUGGUUUGCUGAAUAUUUAUUUUUAUUUUGAGCAUUUCAACUUUUAUCGUGUUUAAUUGCCUUCUUGUGCUGAUAUCACGUGUCGUCCUCCGCCGCAGAAGGAUUUGCCGUCAGAGUCAGAUGUGGUCAAAGGGUUACAUCCUUUUGCCACCGUAGAUGCUUCUGAAUUCUGGUGGGUUAGUUUGUAUUAGCUUAUUUCUCACUCAAUGAGAAUCGAUUAGCAGUAUCGACAAUGGAAUCGUAAUCACUAAAUUAUUCACAAUUCCCAUUCCUAGUUUUAUAAAGGGCAUUUCUCAGAGGCGAUGGACUGAAAAUUGAAAUCUUGAAUUUGGAGGAUUAUCGCCGGAGCUGUGUUGCACUUUUUCGAAGUAAAAAAUUCAGUCGCCUCAUCCAUCUCCUCCAUGGAUAAGCCUGAAAUUUUUCAACAUGUCAGUAUCCGUUGUGACAGCCCAACUUCCAGAACAUGCACUUAGAAUAAAAGGCUGCUCUUAACAUUCAUAAAAGCGCACUCACAGUGGACAAUCCAUCAUAAUCAUGGGGGCAUACUGUACAUAGCUCAGUGGGCACAGCAGUCUCUUUCUAUCUCAGCUGCUGACAUUCAAACAAAGCGCCGGCUCCUCCACUCCUCUGCAGGAUCCCAAUGAACAACAACAACAACGAAUGAAUCACAGGCAACAGCAGCCCACUUUGCUCCCUUCACGGCGUAUAAAAUGUCAAUGCGCACAACAAUCCCUUACAGUGAUGGAUGGCUUAGAGUCAGCGCUCUGUUCAGAACACAAAGCACCAACUCCACCUCGUACUACCUACGCGUUUCACACUUCUUUGUAAAUGUCAGACUCAGGUUUCACAAACAGAUGUGGUUUCAUUGUUUCAGAAAAUGACCUGAGCUGAAGGUAAUUGCGGUGAAGUUUUGCAAACAGACAGCCCUUUCUAAAUGAUGCAGAAAGUGUUACGAUACAUAUUCAUAUAUUUUUACACCUGUAGGCUUUGAUAUUGAAAACAUGGUUCUUAAAAGCUAAUUAUUUUUCAUGUGUUAUAGUGUGGGUUCUACGCUCUUCUGAACGCCAACUAGCAAAGUUUUCACACACUGUAAAGCUGUAAGUGGGAUGGUCGGCUUCAGUUUGCUCCAGGACACAGAGCUCUCACUUUUAAAUUCAACACGGUCCGUUAUGCUACUGGCUGACAUGCAAUGCAGGAAUCGGUGCAACAAAAGGAUGACUAUAUUCUGAAUCCCCAAAAAGAGGACACAACUACGCGGGGGCUGAGUCAUGGAGUCGCGCAUUGUUGAUUAUGAGAGUUUUCUGGGUCGGAUUGAGUGUUUUUUAUGCGCUUCUAACUCAGUAAGUCCACGCAACACAAACUUAAAACUUCCAAACAAAACUGCAGACAUUUGAAGGAUUUUAUAAACUCCCCUGGACAAAGCCAGACAAGGCCAAACAGCCCCCCAAAAAAGAGGACAUGUCUGGGUAAAACAGGACGUAUGGUCACCCUGUGCAAAAAUGAAGGCAAACUGGGUUCAAUAGAGAUGGAGAUGGGUGCAAACCCUGCUUGUAAUAGUAAGAUGGAUCAAAGACAACUUGAGCAAGAGCAUUCAGCCUUUGUAGGUUUGAGGAUAUCGAUAUAUGUUUGGACUGAAUCUUUUAAUGGCCUAAAUGUCAAAGUUAAUGC